GACGAACGCUGGCGGCGUGCUUAACACAUGCAAGUCGAACGAAGAGCGAUGGAAGCUUGCUUCUAUCAAUCUUAGUGGCGAACGGGUGAGUAACGCGUAAUCAACCUGCCCUUCAGAGGGGGACAACAGUUGGAAACGACUGCUAAUACCGCAUACGAUCUAAUCUCGGCAUCGAGGAUAGAUGAAAGGUGGCCUCUACAUGUAAGCUAUCACUGAAGGAGGGGAUUGCGUCUGAUUAGCUAGUUGGAGGGGUAACGGCCCACCAAGGCGAUGAUCAGUAGCCGGUCUGAGAGGAUGAACGGCCACAUUGGGACUGAGACACGGCCCAGACUCCUACGGGAGGCAGCAGGGGGGAAUCUUCCGCAAUGGACGAAAGUCUGACGGAGCAACGCCGCGUGAGGGAUGACGGCCUUCGGGUUGUAAAGCUCUGUUAAUCGGGACGAAAGGCCUUCUUGCGAACAGUUAGAAGGAUUGACGGUACCGGAAUAGAAAGCCACGGCUAACUACGUG
rnacentral:rRNA from 1 species